GUGCCAGCAGCCGCGGUAAUACGAAGGGUGCAAGCGUUACUCGGAAUUACUGGGCGUAAAGCGUGCGUAGGUGGUGGUUUAAGUCUGUCGUGAAAGCCCUGGGCUCAACCUGGGAAUUGCGAUGGAUACUGGAUCACUAGAGUGUGGUAGAGGGAUGCGGAAUUUCCGGUGUAGCAGUGAAAUGCGUAGAGAUCGGAAGGAACAUCUGUGGCGAAGGCGGCAUCCUGGGCCAACACUGACACUGAGGCACGAAAGCGUGGGGAGCAAACAGGAUUAGAUACCCCUGUAGUCC
rnacentral:rRNA from 1 species